rnacentral:rRNA from 1 species
AUUGAACGCUGGCGGCAGGCUUAACACAUGCAAGUCGAGCGAGCGGCGGACGGGUGAGUAAUGUCUGGGAAACUGCCUGAUGGAGGGGGAUAACUACUGGAAACGGUAGCUAAUACCGCAUACCAUCAGAUGUGCCCAGAUGGGAUUAGCUAGUAGGUGGGGGAAUGGCUCACCUAGGCGACGAUCCCUAGCUGGUCUGAGAGGCUGACCAGCCAGCCGGGGACUGGGAGACGGUCCAGCGCCCUACGGGAGGGAGCAGUGGGGAAUAUUCAACAAUUGGCGCAAGCCUGAUGCAGUCAUGCCGCGUGGGUGAAGAAGGACUUCGGGUCGUAAAGCAGUUUCAGCGAGGAGGCGUUACUGGCAGAAGAAGCAACGGCUAACUCCGUGCCAACAGCCGCGGUAAUAC